UGUCUCGUUAGUUAAAUGGAUAUAACAUGGUCCUCCUAAGACUAAAUUAUAGGUUCGAUUCCUAUACGAGACGGCCA
rnacentral:tRNA from 4 species